GACGAACGCUGGCGGCGUGCUUAACACAUGCAAGUCGAACGGAAAGUCCCUGCUUUUGUGGGGUUCUCGAGUGGCGAACGGGUGAGUAACACGUGAGUAACCUGCCCUUGACUUUGGGAUAACUUCAGGAAACUGGGGCUAAUACCGGAUAGGAUCUCCUGCUGCAUGGUGGGGGUUGGAAAGUUUCGGCGGUUGGGGAUGGUCUCGCGGCUUAUCUGCUUUUUUGUUGGUUAUUGGCUUACCAAGGAUUUGACGGGUAGCAGGCAUGAGAGGGUGACCGGCAACAGUGGGACUGAGAUACGGCACAGAAUACAACGGGAGGAAGCAGUGGGGAAUAGUGCACAAUGGGAGGAAGCAUGAUGAAGCAACGCAGCGUGCGGGAUGACGGCCUUCGGGUUGUAAAAAGAUUUAGCAUGUGACGAAGAGUGAGUGACGGUAAUGGGUAAAGAAGCACCGGCUAACUACGUG
rnacentral:rRNA from 1 species